rnacentral:rRNA from 1 species
AUUGAACGCUGGCGGCAUGCUUUACACAUGCAAGUCGAACGGUAACAGGCCGCAAGGUGCUGACGAGUGGCGUACGGGUGAGUAAUGCAUCGGAACGUGCCCAGUCGUGGGGGAUAACUACUCGAAAGAGUAGCUAAUACCGCAUACGAUCUAUGGAUGAAAGCGGGGGACCGUAAGGCCUCGCGCGAUUGGAGCGGCCGAUGUCAGAUUAGGUAGUUGGUGGGGUAAAGGCUCACCAAGCCAACGAUCUGUAGCUGGUCUGAGAGGACGACCAGCCACACGGGGAAGGAGACGCGCCCCAGACCCCGAGGGGAGGCAGGGGUGGGAAAUUUAGGGGAAGGGGCGGAAGCGUAUACCAGCAAAGGGGCGGGCGGGAAAAAGGCCUUGGGGGUGUAAGCUGUUUUUGUACGAGAGAAAAAGGGUUUUGUUAAACGCCGGGGUAAUGAACGUACCGGGAAAAUAAGCCCCGGCUAACUCAGUG